GAUCUGGUUCAGGAUGAACGCUAGCUACAGGCUUAACACAUGCAAGUCGAGGGGUAGCAGGGUAGCAAUACCGCUGACGACCGGCGCACGGGUGAGUAACACGUAUCCAACCUUCCCAUAACUCAGGGAUAGCCUUUCGAAAGAAAGAUUAAUACCUGAUAGUACUUUUUCAAGGCAUCUUGAGAAGUUAAGAUUUAUUGGUUAUGGAUGGGGAUGCGUUCCAUUAGAUAGUUGGUGAGGUAACGGCUCACCAAGUCUUCGAUGGAUAGGGGUUCUGAGAGGAAGGUCCCCCACAUUGGUACUGAGACACGGACCAAACUCCUACGGGAGGCAGCAGUGAGGAAUAUUGGUCAAUGGGCGAGAGCCUGAACCAGCCAAGUAGCGUGAAGGAUGAAAGGUCCUAUGGAUUGUAAACUUCUUUUAUAGUAGAAUAAAGUGAUCCACGUGUGGAUUUUUGUAUGUAUACUAUGAAUAAGGAUCGGCUAACUCCGUGCCAGCAGCAGC
rnacentral:rRNA from 1 species